UACGAAGGGGGCUAGCGUUGCUCGGAAUUACUGGGCGUAAAGGGCGCGUAGGCGGCCAGUUUAGUCAGAGGUGAAAGCCCAGGGCUCAACCUUGGAACUGCCUUUGAUACUGGCUGUCUUGAGUUCGGGAGAGGUGAGUGGAAUGCCGAGUGUAGAGGUGAAAUUCGUAGAUAUUCGGCGGAACACCAGUGGCGAAGGCGACUCACUGGCCCGAUACUGACGCUGAGGCGCGAAAGCGUGGGGAGCAAACAGG
rnacentral:rRNA from 1 species